GAUCCUGGCUCAGGAUGAACGCUAGCUACAGGCUUAACACAUGCAAGUCGAGGGCAGCAUGAUCUAGCUGCUAGAAUGAUGGCGACCGGCGCACGGGUGAGUAACGCGUAUCCAACCUUCCCUAUAGUAGAGGAUAGCCCGGCGAAAGUCGGAUUAAUACUCUAUGUUGUUCAAUGCGGACAUCUAAGUUGAACCAAAGGUUUACCGCUAUAGGAUGGGGAUGCGUCUGAUUAGAUGGUAGGCGGGGUAACGGCCCACCUAGUCGACGAUCAGUAGGGGUUCUGAGAGGAAGGUCCCCCACAUUGGAACUGAGACACGGUCCAAACUCCUACGGGAGGCAGCAGUGAGGAAUAUUGGUCAAUGGGCGAGAGCCUGAACCAGCCAAGUAGCGUGCCAGGAUGACGGCCCUAUGGGUUGUAAACUGCUUUUAUAUAGGGAUAAAGUGCACUACGUGUAGUGUUUUGUAGGUACUAUAUGAAUAAGGACCGGCUAAUUCCGUGCCAGCCGCCGC
rnacentral:rRNA from 1 species